GUGAAUCAUCGAAUCUUUGAACGCACAUUGCGCCCCUUGGUAUUCCGAGGGGCAUGCCUGUUCGAGCGUCAUUACAACCCUCAAGCACUGCUUGGUGUUGGGCUCCGCUGGUAACGGCGGGCCUUAAAAUCAGUGGCGGUGCCGUCGGGCCCUGAGCGUAGUAAAUCUCCUCGCUACAGGGUCCCGGUGGACGCUGGCCAUCAACCCCCACUCUUUAAGUUUGACCUCGGAUCAGGUAGGGAUACCCGCUGAACUUAAGCAUAUCAAUAAGCGGAGGA
rnacentral:misc_RNA from 1 species